rnacentral:rRNA from 1 species
GAGUAACUAUGACUCUCUUAAGGUAGCCAAAUGCCUCGUCAUCAUACUUGAAAGAGGCCGGCAGUCAGGGGGCUCAGAGGGGGGGUCAGGGGUGCCGCAAGGCUAACCUGAUCCGCCCUCCUAACCCCCCUGACUGCCGGCCAGGAAGCCGCAAGCAAGGAGCAAGGGGAAGGCAGCAGUCGAGGGGAUGGGGAGCCGAAGGUGGUCGAUGGCGAGUAGGGGAGGCGGGUACAACACGGGUCAAACCGUGGCGUACCAGCCGCCUCGAAAGCCUAGCUGGCAAGGCAGGGGUCGACGAGUGGAUAGGAUGGGACGGGCGGGGGGGUGGGGGCGAGAGGUCAAUAGGCAGGUGAUAUGCAGGCUUCGGCUUGCAUGUCCCCUGCUGACGGACCAAUCGCCCUCCCUCCUCCAACCGCUCCAGCCUCCCCACUCGUAGGCCCCUGCCCCAAGGCCGAUCCAGAAGCUCCCCCUCGCCUGGGAAGAAGGUGGUCGAUGGCGAGUAGGGGAGGCGAGUACAACACGGGUCAAACCGUGGCGUACCAGCCGCCUCGAAAGCCUAGCUGGCAAGGCAGGGGUCAACGGGUGGAUAGGAUGGGGUGGGUGGGUGGGGGCGAGACGUAAAUAGGCGGUGAUAUGCAGGCUUCGGCUUGCAUGUCCCUGCUGACUGACCAAUCGCCCCCACCCAGCCUCGCCAGCCUCGCCACACGUGGGCUCCCUGCCCCAAAGCCGAUCCAGAAGCCCUGCUGUGCGAUGGGGGGCUGAAGGUGGUCGAUGGCGAGUAGGGGAGACGGGUACAACACGGGUCAAACCGUGGCGUACCAGCCGCCUCGAAAGCCUAGCUGGCAAGGCAGGGGUCAACGAGUGGAUAGGCUGGGGCGGGUGGGGGGUGGGGGCGAGAGGUAAAUAGGCGGGUGAUAUGCAGGCUUCGGCUUGCAUGUCCCCUGCUGACGGACCAAUCGCCCUCCUCCUCCACCCGCUCCAGCCUCGCCACUCAGAGACCCCUGCCCCAAGGCCGAUCCAGAAGCCCCCACUCGCCUGGGAAGAAGGUGGUCAAUGGUGAGUAGGGGAGGCGGGUACAACACGGGUCAAACCGUGCCGUACCAGCCGCCUCGAAAGCCUAGCUGGCAAGGCAGGGGUCAACGGGUGGAUAGGAUGGGGUGGGUGGGGGCGAGAGGUAAAUAGGCGGGUGAUAUGCAGGCUUCGGCUUGCAUGUCCCCUGCUGACGGACCAAUCGCCCCCACUCAGCCUCGCCAGCCUCGCCACACGUGGGCUCCCUGCCCCAAGGCCGAUCCGGAAGCCCUGCUGUGGGAUGGACGAGGUUUGAAGUAGCACUGGCAAGGGGGACCUCUCCAGUGUGACUGAAAGCCUCGCCUAUCCCACCCUUGUCGCCUUCGGUAGCCAGCGCCGUUCACAGUCACUGGAAAGGCAGGCAACUGCCCCAGUAAGUGACAAGGAAGGUGGGUCUCUCGACUGUAGACGUGGGGGAGUACGUAGGGAACGGGCCUCUAGGGGCCUCGACCCUGCUCUACCCCACCUCUCACAUGAAGGAGGCCUAUCUGCACCCAAUUGCGUGAAGGUUUACCCGUCUGAGCCCAGUCAAAGGACCUCCCCCGCCUGCCCACCAACCUCUCUCGCUUCCCUCUCGGGGGAAGAGGCGGGAGGAAGGGGGGCUCGAGGGGGGAGACUCCGGCGACUGGGGUAGGGUGUACUAACAAGCAGCCAAGCCAAUGUCCAUCCCCAGAUCCAGGGUUCCGAGUGAGCCCUGGGUGGAGUCGAGUGGGGUGGGCUGCGGAGUGGUCAAGAGACUGAAAGGUGCUCUGGACCGGUGAUGCUGGGGGGUCUCGACUCGGAGGGGGUGGGGGGAGAGGGGGACGCGUACGAAGGAACGUGAGGAAGGGCCGUAAGGCCUGGAUUCACGGUCCGGAUGACCCGCCUCCUACCCCCCCACCCCCUCCGAGGCCUCUCAUCACUGGGCCUAGUAGACACAGUCCGUCGCCAGGGGGGGAAAAGCUGUAUAAGCGAGUGGCUUGCGCCCUCGGUGACCGAGCAUACGUGGGGAGAGAGGGCUUCACCGCCCUCGAUCCCACCGCCUGCCUGGGAGCCUUGGGAAGAGCAUUGGCCAGCGGCUCGGAUGCUUUGUACCCCCCGACCGAGACGUUAAUUUGUGACGCGCAUGAAUGGAUUAAUGAGAUUCCCACUGUCCCUACCUACUAUCUAGCGAAACCACAGCCAAGGGAACGGGCUUGGCCCAAUUAGCGGGGAAAGAAGACCCUGUUGAGCUUGACUCUAGGCACAGAAGCGAGGUGAUUCUAAAGGUGUAGCAUAGGUGGGAGGGCCUGGCCCGACCUUGAAAUACCACCACUUUCGACAUUGCUUUGCUAAUGCUGUAACGAAUGGACGGCCCCCUGGUGUCCCAGCUACCUCCGGGUAGUUGGACCACUGGGUAAGGCUUCUUUCUAGCGAUUUCCCGGUCUGAUAUGAUGGCUUGGCCCCUCUGGGUGAGUACUUUGGGACCAUGAGUCGGGCUUCCGAGCCUGGCGAGUGCUGUCUUGGGGGAACCAGAGAAGGUUGGGCUGUCCUCUGUUGGGCCAACGAAGGGUACAUAAGCCGUGUAGCAAACCAUCUGUGUUGGGGAGUUUGGCUGGGGCGGAAAACUGCUACACGGCAACGGCAGUCUCCUAAGGUCCACUCAGAGACGACAGAAACGUCUCGUAGAGCAUAAAGGCAAAAGUGGGCUUAACUUACAUUUUCAGUAGUAAUGUGAAGCAAGAAAUUGAGGCUUAACGAUCCUUAGCGACGGGUGCCAGCCCACGCUUGAGGUGAGAGAAAAGUUACCACAGGGAUUGAUCUAACGGUCGGUGGUCCUCGAGACCACCGAAGCCAGCCACCAGCACGCUCGCGCCCCAGGAACCCCCUGCCAACCCCGUCUCUUCGCCCUCCAGCCGUACCGAGCCAUCAGCAAGGGGGUCAUUCCCUCUGAACACGGCUCGGCUCGACUGGGGGGAGGGUGACGGGGCGAGAGGGGGCGGAUAGGGGAGGCUUGCGUGCCGGUGGGUGGUUAGGCGGGCUCAAGUCUGGACGUGUCUCAACGGAAUAGGGCUGCAGACCUACCCGCGGAGACACUGAAGGGCAACGCACCUCGAUGCGAGGAAGACCUAUUCCAAAUGGCGUCGGUACCGGGCUCUCCCAGUAACACUGGGAGCCUAUGUCGAACCGCCUUUUGCCCUACCAUGCCUUGACCAACCCGCCUCACUCGCCAUUCCUCCCCUUAUCCUCCGUCCAAACCCACCCCCUCACCGGGGUGGGCUUGUCCGGGGGGUAGAGUGGGGGGUGGCGUGUGGGGAGGCGAGGCCGAGGGGGUAGGGCGGAGGGUGGGGAGACCUGGUAAUAACCCGGCGCCAGGGUUCAUUCGCAGGCAACAAGGCUCCGACAAACCCCCCACCGCAACACGCUGUCGUGUUCGCAACCGGGGGGCGGGUAUCGGGGCUGCGUGUCUCAAAGACUGCAAAGGUGUGGGCUGAACUGGGUAUCAAGUGACUCGCCUGAGCGCUCGUUCCCUCUUCUCUCGCUCGGUUUCUCGUGGGGGGGGCUCUCCUUGCCCUUCCCCACCUGCCAAUAUGGUCCGAACUCACGCCUCUUUCGACCCUCACCGGUCGAGAGGGGGGUGGGGGCUAGUCCUGACCUGGUAGGUGGGGAGGGUAGGCGGGGGUUCACUCCAGGGGUCCACCGAGGGGGAGGGGAGGGGUGGGUGCGAUGAUGGAGGGCAUGAUCUUACCCGGCCAGGCAUAAGGUACAGUCUACUCCCGCCCGAAAGGGAUUCCAGCGAGGUGGUCCGUGGGGAGCAACCAACUCCCCGUGGACUGCCGGCUUCGCUCAGCCUCUGAACGAGUACUGCUCACCUCCAGACGCCUGCACUCACCCGUCCCACCCCCCACCAACCUCCCUGUCGACCCGGUAACGGGCCUGCAGGGGGGUUGUGUGGGGGGUUGGGGUGGGUGGGUGUGGGCAGAUGGGGUGGGGUGGGAAAGGGCUCUGGUUGGUCGGGGACCUGGAGGGGCGCAAGCCCUGGGUACUUCCGGAACUGGCUUGUGGCCGCCAAGCGUUCAUAGCGACGUGGC